GACGAACGCUGGCGGCGUGCUUAACACAUGCAAGUCGAACGGUGAAAGGGAGCUUGCUCCCUGGAUCAGUGGCGAACGGGUGAGUAACACGUGGGCAACCUGCCCCAGACUUCGGGAUAACGCUUCGAAAGAGGUGCUAAUACCGGAUACGAACUCCUUGGGCAUCCUUGGAGUUGGAAAGUUUUUCGGUCUGGGAUGGGCCCGCGGCCUAUCAGCUUGUUGGUGAGGUAACGGCUCACCAAGGCGACGACGGGUAGCCGGCCUGAGAGGGCGACCGGCCACACUGGGACUGAGACACGGCCCAGACUCCUACGGGAGGCAGCAGUGGGGAAUAUUGCGCAAUGGGCGAAAGCCUGACGCAGCAACGCCGCGUGAGGGAUGACGGCCUUCGGGCUGUAAACCUCUUUCAGCAGGGAAGAAGCGAAAGUGACGGUACCUGCAGAAGAAGCACCGGCUAACUACGUGCCAGCAGCCGCCGUAAAAC
rnacentral:rRNA from 1 species